ensembl:lncRNA MIR9-1HG MIR9-1 host gene
GGCAGUCCAGCCGCAGGGGCCACCCGAACAGUCUCUCCUCCUCACAGAAGCCUGGAGCUGGGCAUCCAAGAAGAAGCAGCCUCAUUUGUUUUCUGGUGUCAUCGUAGGUGGCCACCUAUGGCUUUUGGGGUAUUUAUUUUCUUAUUUAUUGUUUCUGAUGGUGGAGUGGGUGGGGGAAGAAAAGGAAAACUGGCCCUGUCUCACUUAUGUUUUCUCCUGUUCUCUGUACCCCUCUACCCCUCUCCCUGUCUCUUCCAGCUUUCGGCCCCUGAUUUUGGUCUACUCCAAUUGUAGAAAGACCUACAUAGUCAAUGAUAGGCCACCCUGCUUCCAGUUCUGUGAUAGAGAGGAAAGGCAUUGGGGAUACAGGGAACUCUUUCCCCUUCUCCAAUGGGCUCCUGAGGGCAAAGUUGGAGGCCAAUUGACCUUGGGGGAGAUGAUUGGUUGGAGAAGGGAACAGAGAUACUUGUACCUGGGUGACAGAGGUGAGAAAGAAGAGGAGCAUGGGGUAUGGUAAAUGGGGACCCAAGGAGCUUAAAUAACUGUGAGUGGGUAUGUAUGCCAGGGUAUACAACUGCAAGCACUGGGAGGUGGUACUGCUGGGAGUAUCAGUGGAUUUGUCAUUGCAUUGGUCUGAGUUGAUAAGUUUGAGUAUGUGUGCAUGUGUGUGUGUGUGCGCACGCGUGUAUGUGUGUGCGUGUGUGUAUGUGUAUGUGUGUGCAUGUGUGUGUGUGCGUGUGUGUGUGUGUGAUGCGCAGCACCCUUGCAUACUCAUGCUUAUGCCCCUUAAGGAGGCCAUUUGCUGAUGGUUGAGGGUCUUGUAGAAAGGACUCAGUCUGGACGAACCAGCCAACCCUCUACCAUCUCUGCCACCUUGUUCUUACCUCCCAGACACAUAAGGUUCUCAGGCAAGUGAGCAAUGUGUGGGCUCAAGAAUAGAACUGGGAGCAGGCAAGGAAGGCAGUACUUACACAAGCCCAAGGAAUUCUCAAGCUGGCCCCUCAAUAGGAGGAACAUACCACUCUCUCGUGGGGAAGAAGUGUGACAUCCUUAGGGACGAUAUCCUCCAGAUUAUUUCUCCAUACCUCCUACCUUUUCUGCCCACAUGAAUAGAUAUUUUGUAUAUAUAUAUUUUUUUCACACAGCCUCAGUAUUUUUUAUUGCUAAUUCUUGCUUUUAUUUGUGACUAUCCCAUAGACAAUGCAGAUUUCUAUAGCAAAAAAUGUAUGAUAUUGUUCAUAAUGAUGCACUUAUAAGACAAAUAAAUAUCUGAAUCCACCCUUUCCCAAAUGCAGCUUUCAUCUGUGUCUUCAAGGCAAAUUAAUCUGGUAAUUGGAACAUAGAAAAAA